UGGGGAAUAUUGGACAAUGGGGGCAACCCUGAUCCAGCAAUGCCGCGUGAGUGAUGAAGGCCUUAGGGUUGUAAAGCUCUUUCGGCGGGGACGAUGAUGACGGUACCCGCAGAAGAAGCCCCGGCUAACUUCGUGCCAGCAGCCGCGGUAAUACGAAGGGGGCUAGCGUUGUUCGGAAUUACUGGGCGUAAAGGGCGCGCAGGCGGCCGCUCAAGUCAGGUGUGAAAGCCCCGGGCUCAACCUGAGAACUGCACUUGAUACUGAGUGGCUAGAGUUCGGGAGAGGAGAGUGGAAUUCCCAGUGUAGAGGUGAAAUUCGUAGAUAUUGGGAAGAACACCGGUGGCGAAGGCGGCUCUCUGGACCGAUACUGACGCUGAGGCGCGAAAGCGUGGGGAGCAAACAGGAUUAGAUACCCUGGUAGUCCACGCCGUAAACGAUGUGCGCUAGACGUUGGGGGGCCUAGCCCUCCGGUGUCGCAGCUAACGCGAUAAGCGCACCGCCUGGGGAGUACGGCCGCAAGGUUAA
rnacentral:rRNA from 1 species